rnacentral:pre_miRNA from 1 species
GCUAGUGAGUGAUGCUAGUGAGUGAUACUGGUGAGUGAUGCUAGUGAGUGAUGCUAGUGAGUGAUGCUACUCACCAGCAUCACUCACCAGUAUCACUCACUAGCAUCACUCACCA